ensembl:lncRNA
CCAGGUUUCUUCGUCUUCUUCGUCUAAUUUACCAGAUGAACACAGAGAUCAGUUUGUUAUGUAUUUAUUCUGUUUUACAAGCAUCAUUCGUACCAACAUUCAUCGAUUUUCAAUACUAAGUUUGUCCGUUUUUUUCAAAAACAUUUUUUUUUUUUUUUUUUACAAAGACAUAAAUAUAUGAUAGAAUACAAUACAGUAUAAACUGUAUAAAAUACAAAAUAAAAUGGAUAUACUUAUUUAAAAUGAUAAUCACAAAAGAGACGAAACCAGAAAAUGGGAUCUUUUGACAACGAGGCAAAAAACACCAGCAUGAACUUAAAACAGCUGAACACCAAUGAUAUUAUUGUUGUCCGUCUCAAAACCGUUCCCCCUCUGUCGUACACUAGUUUACAGUACACUAGUUUAUAGUGCACUAGUUUAUAGUGCACUAGUUUACAGUACACUAGUUUAUAGUGCACUAGUUUACAGUACACUAUUUUAUAGUGCACUACAAGGGGAAAAAAAACGACAUCAUCGGAGACGCAGCUAAUGGCUAUGUCAGAAAUGGGCGUCGCCGGAGACGCAGCCAAUGGCUAUGUCAGAAAUGGGCGUCGCCAGAGACGCAGCCAAUGGCUAUGUCAGAAAUGGGCGUCGCCGGAGACGCAGCCAAUGGCUACUUCAGAAACUACAUCACCGGAGACGCAGCCAAUGGCUACAUCAGAAACUACAUCACCGGAGACGCAGCCAAUGGCUACAUCAGAAACUACAUCACCGGAGACGCAGCCAAUGGCUGUGUCAGAAACGGCACCCUAUUCCCUAUAUAGUGAACUCCUUUUGACCAGAGCCCUACAGGGCCCUUCGUAGGGAAUAGGAUGGCAUUUUGAACGUAGACAUUAUGUAUAUUAGGUAAGUACGUACGCAGGUCGCUUUUGGGUCCAAAUUUUGUUGUUUUUUUGGGGGGGCCUGAACAACCAAACUACGGAAAGCUGGAAGGCACAUAUCUGAGGAAGCAUGAGACCUUCAGAUGAAGGGAAGUGUCCCCAACAGCACCCUAAUUCCCUUACGGUGCACUACCGUUUGACCAGAGCCCUUUUGACCACUAUAUAUUUAGUGCACUAGCGCACGAGUGACCUUUUCCAACACCAAAUAGGGAAUGGGGUGCCAUUUUGGAACGUAACCCGGGCAACAGGAAGAAGAGAGACAGUAGAGGGAGGGUGAGGCAGUGAAACAGGAAGAAGGAGAGAGACAGUAGAGGGAGGGUAAGGCAGUGAAACAGGAAGGAGAGAGACAGUAGAGGGAGGGUAAGGCAGUGAAACAGGAAGAAGGGAGACAGUAGAGGGAGGGUUCGAGGCAGUGAAACAGGAAGUGUUAAGGCCAACUGAUCAUCUAAAAACAGGAUGCCCAAACUGUUAUAAGACAUACAACCUGACCAAUAAAAACAGAGUAUUCAAUAUCAACAUGACCAAUCGGUAAUCUUCUGUUGUCAUAUUCCAGCCCACUAAUAUAGAUAUCUGUCACCAAGGUUAGAGAAUUAUAUUAAAACAAGGCAUGUUAUUGACCCCAAGGUUAGAGAAUUAUAUUAAAACAAGGCUUGUUAUUGACCCCAAGGUUAGAGAAUUAUAUUAAAACAAGGCUUGUUAUUGACCCCAAGGUUAGAGAAUUAUAUUAAAACAAGGCUUGUUAUUGACCAAGGUUAGAGAGAAUGACAUUAAAACAAGGCUUGUUAUUGACCCCAAGGUUAGAGAGAAUGACAUUAAAACAAGGCUUGUUAUUGACCCCAAGGUUAGAGAGAAUGACAUUAAAACAAGGCUUGUUAUUGACCCCAAGGUUAGAGAGAAUGACAUUAAAACAAGGCUUGUUAUUGACCCCAAGGUUAGAGAGAAUGACAUUAAAACAAGGCUUGUUAUUGACCAAGGUUAGAGAGAAUGACAUUAAAACAAGGCUUGUUAUUGACCAAGGUUAGAGAGAAUGACAUUAAAACAAGGCUUGUUAUUGACCCCAAGGUUAGAGAGAAUGACAUUAAAACAAGGCUUGUUAUUGACCCCAAGGUUAGAGAGAAUGACAUUAAAACAAGGCUUGUUAUUGACCCCAAGGUUAGAGAGAAUGACAUUAAAACAAGGCUUGUUAUUGACCCCAAGGAUAGAGAGAAUUAUAUUAAAACAAGGCUUGUUGUCAUCCUUCAUCUUCCUCCAUUAGACAUUGUAGUUAUUAUUAUUAUUAUUAUUAUAAACACAAUAUAUACAUGUAUGUUACAGGAAUAUACAGGGUGUUAAUGCUCCUCAUGUCUCAAUAUAAAUCAGUAUGUUCAAGCAUUCAGGGAGUCGGCGGCUUUGGCUUGCGGAGGGGUUUCAUUACCUAAAACAGGGUGAAAAGUCAAAAAACAGGAACAGGAAAUACAUCACCAUAGAACUAAAGGCCGAUAAAAGACAGAAGAAGAGGUCAAAAAGAAGGUUGACAGUCCAGUGGGCCCAUUGUCACUAGGAUGUACGACUAGGGAGAGGGACCAUAGACUUAGACAGACCUCUAUGGUGCAGCACAUGCUGUCACACAAGACAUUGUCGCACAGGUGCAAAGCAGAGCCCUCUAGCUAGCUCUAUGGGAGAAACAGGCCAGGCUAGGAGAGGCCAGCUCCUCUUAGCUCUAUGGGAGAAACAGGCCAGGCCAGGACAGGAGAGGCCAGCUCCUCUUAGCUCUAUGGGAGAAACAGGCCAGGCCAGGAGAGGCCAGCUCCUCUUAGCUCUAUGGGAGAAACAGGCCAGUUCCUCUUAGCUCUAUGGGAGAAACAGGCCAGGCCAGGACAGGACAGGCCAGGACAGGACAGGCCAGCUCCUCUUAGCUCUAUGGGAGAAACAGGCCAGGCCAGGACAGGCCAGGCCAGCUCCUCUUAGCUCUAUGGGAGAAACAGGCCAGGCCAGGAGAGGCCAGCUCCUCUUAGCUCUAUGGGAGAAACAGGCCAGUUCCUCUUAGCUCUUUGGGAGAAACUGGCCAGGCCAGGACAGGAUAGGGCCAGCUCCUCUUAGCUCUAUGGGAGAAACAGGCCGGGACAGGAGAGCUCCUCUUAGCUCAGAGCCGCCCCACUACAUACUAAAUGGCAGGACUCUGCUCUAUCUAUCUAUCUAUCUAUCUAUCUAUCUAUCUAUCUAUCUAUCUAUCUAUCUAUCUAUCUAUCUAUCAAUCAAUCAAUCAAUUGUUGAUACAUCUCAUCUUCUCCUCCUCCUCUUGAUUGGGGGAGUAACUCAAGAGUCAUUUAGCUUUCACACCCUCUUCCUCUUCCUGGGACACAUCCUGUUUCCAUCCCUCCUCCAUCUCCCUGUCCCUUCCUCUCCCUCAGCCUGCGUUCAUUCCAUCCUCCACCCUCUUCCUCUUCCUCUUCCUGGGACACAUCCUGUUUCCCUCCCUCCAUCAGCCUGCGUUCAUUCCAUCCUCCUCUUCCUCUUCCUGGGACACAUCCUGUUUCCCUCCCUCCCUCAGCCUGCGUUCAUUCCAUCCUCCACCCUCUUCCUCUUCCUGGGACACAUCCUGUUUCCCUCCCUCCCUCAGCCUGCAUUCAUUCCAUCCUCCACCCAUCCCAUCCCGUCACUCGCUGUCUGUCUCCAGGUCUGAAUCGGACCACUGUACCGGGGUCAGUUUUCCGCGUCGCUGUGCGUACUCGAUGACGGCCGUGUAGCAGAAGUAAUACUGAUCCCAGGUCUGUAUACUGAAGGCUCUCUGGGUCCUCAUCCUCCUCACUGUCUCACACACAUCCACCGUCCCAAUGUCCUCCAGCCUGGACAGACAGAUGUCCAGGGUACAGAACGUACCUGAGGAGGGAAAUGAGAGAGAGAGGGGUUAGUGGAGGGAGAGAGGAGAGAAACGAAAGAGAGAAAGAGGGGUUAGUGGAGGGAGAGAGGAGAGAAAUGAGAGACAGAGAGAGAGAGAGAGAG